CAACCCUCAAGCCUGGCUUGGUGAUGGGGCACUGCCUGUAACAGGGCAGGCCCUGAAAUAUAGUGGCGAGCUCGCCAGGACCCCGAGCGCAGUAGUUAAACCCUCGCUCUGGAAGGCCCUGGCGGUGCCCUGCCGUUAAACCCCCAACUUUUGAAA
rnacentral:misc_RNA from 1 species